rfam:Callithrix jacchus chromosome 12, whole genome shotgun sequence
AGAAAUAUGUCUGACAAAGAGUUACUUUGAUAGAGUAAAUUAUACAGGUUAAAAUCCUCUUACUUCUA